UGGAUUCAAGAUAUUCAAUCAAGCUAAUUCUUCACCAGUAGUAAACCAAAGAACAACACAAGCUGUUUCACCACUUAGUGUUUCAAGUCCAAGACCUCAUUCUACAACACCACCAAGAACGUCAAGUAGUUUUUCUAGGUCUCCAGGAUCAUACACACCUCCAACUAUGUAUGAAAGCCUUGUUACGCCGGACACRACUGUAAGGUCCAGGCAUUCUCCAUCAAGGCAGUCACCAU